rnacentral:rRNA from 1 species
AUUGAACGCUGGCGGCAGGCCUAACACAUGCAAGUCGAGCGGAUGAAGGGAGCUUGCUCCUGGAUUCCGCGGCGGACGGGUGAGUAAUGCCUAGGAAUCUGCCUGCUAGUGGGUGAUAACGUCCGGAAACGGGCGCUAAUACCGCAUACGUCCUGAGGGAGAUAGUGGGUGGUCUUCGGACCUCACGCUAUCAGAUGAGCCUAGGUCGGAGUAGCUAGUUGGUGGGGUUAAGGGCUACCAAGCCGACGAUCCGUAACUGGUCGGAUAGGAUGAUCAGCCACAUGGGAGCGGGAACAGCGUCAAGGCGCCUACGAGAGGCAGCAGUGGGGAAUGUUGGGCAGUAGGCGGAAGCAUGGUCCAGCCGUGCCGCGUGUGUGAAGAAAGUGUUCGGAUUGGAAAGCACGUUAAGUUGGGGGGAAGGGCAGUAAGUUAAUACCUUGCUGUUUUGACGUUACCAGCAGAAUAAGCACCGGCUAACUUCGUG